AUCAUCUGGAAAGAUGAAUCAAAGAAGGUAAUAAUCCUGUAGUCGAAAAUGUUGUCUCUCUUGAGUGGAUCCUGAGUACGACGGAGCACGUGAAAUUCCGUCGGAAUCUGGGAGGACCAUCUCCUAAGGCUAAAUACUCUCUAGUGACCGAUAGUGAACCAGUACCGUGAGGGAAAGGUGAAAAGCACCCCGGAAGGGGAGUGAAAUAGAACCUGAAACCGUGUGCUUACAAGUAGUCAGAGCCCGUUAAUGGGUGAUGGCGUGCCUUUUGUAGAAUGAACCGGCGAGUUACGAUUUGAUGCAAGGUUAAGCAGUAAAUGUGGAGCCGUAGCGAAAGCGAGUCUGAAUAGGGCGUUUAGUAUUUGGUCGUAGACCCGAAACCAGGUGAUCUACCCUUGGUCAGGUUGAAGUUCAGGUAACACUGAAUGGAGGACCGAACCGACUUACGUUGAAAAGUGAGCGGAUGAACUGAGGGUAGCGGAGAAAUUCCAAUCGAACCUGGAGAUAGCUGGUUCUCUCCGAAAUAGCUUUAGGGCUAGCCUCAAGUGAUGAUUAUUGGAGGUAGAGCACUGUUUGGACGAGGGGCCCCUCUCGGGUUACCGAAUUCAGACAAACUCCGAAUGCCAAUUAAUUUAACUUGGGAGUCAGAACAUGGGUGAUAAGGUCCGUGUUCGAAAGGGAAACAGCCCAGACCACCAGCUAAGGUCCCAAAAUAUAUGUUAAGUGGAAAAGGAUGUGGCGUUGCCCAGACAACUAGGAUGUUGGCUUAGAAGCAGCCAUCAUUUAAAGAGUGCGUAAUAGCUCACUAGUCGAGUGACACUGCGCCGAAAAUGUACCGGGGCUAAACAUAUUACCGAAGCUGUGGAUUGUCCUUUGGACAAUGGUAGGAGAGCGUUCUAAGGGCGUUGAAGCAUGAUCGUAAGGACAUGUGGAGCGCUUAGAAGUGAGAAUGCCGGUGUGAGUAGCGAAAGACGGGUGAGAAUCCCGUCCACCGAUUGACUAAGGUUUCCAGAGGAAGGCUCGUCCGCUCUGGGUUAGUCGGGUCCUAAGCUGAGGCCGACAGGCGUAGGCGAUGGAUAACAGGUUGAUAUUCCUGUACCACCUAUAAUCGUUUUAAUCGAUGGGGGGACGCAGUAGGAUAGGCGAAGCGUGCGAUUGGAUUGCACGUCUAAGCAGUAAGGCUGAGUAUUAGGCAAAUCCGGUACUCGUUAAGGCUGAGCUGUGAUGGGGAGAAGACAUUGUGUCUUCGAGUCGUUGAUUUCACACUGCCGAGAAAAGCCUCUAGAUAGAAAAUAGGUGCCCGUACCGCAAACCGACACAGGUAGUCAAGAUGAGAAUUCUAAGGUGAGCGAGCGAACUCUCGUUAAGGAACUCGGCAAAAUGACCCCGUAACUUCGGGAGAAGGGGUGCUCUUUAGGGUUAACGCCCAGAAGAGCCGCAGUGAAUAGGCCCAAGCGACUGUUUAUCAAAAACACAGGUCUCUGCUAAACCGUAAGGUGAUGUAUAGGGGCUGACGCCUGCCCGGUGCUGGAAGGUUAAGAGGAGUGGUUAGCUUCUGCGAAGCUACGAAUCGAAGCCCCAGUAAACGGCGGCCGUAACUAUAACGGUCCUAAGGUAGCGAAAUUCCUUGUCGGGUAAGUUCCGACCCGCACGAAAGGCGUAACGAUUUGGGCACUGUCUCAACGAGAGACUCGGUGAAAUCAUAGUACCUGUGAAGAUGCAGGUUACCCGCGACAGGACGGAAAGACCCCGUGGAGCUUUACUGUAGCCUGAUAUUGAAAUUCGGCACAGCUUGUACAGGAUAGGUAGGAGCCUUUGAAACGUGAGCGCUAGCUUACGUGGAGGCGCUGGUGGG
rnacentral:rRNA from 1 species